UCCACUCUCUGUCUCGACCAGAGUACUCCUGCAAUCUGACGGUCCGACCAGAGUACCGAACGGCAUACGACUCUCUGUGUCUCCGCCUCACGCCAUCCGCCCUCAUCCAGUUGUCCUCUGUCCUCGCCUCCUCGGUCGCAAUCAACACUCGACACUCAGUCGUCCUCGGCCCUCAGCCCUCGACCCUCAACAGACAACAGUCAACAUUUCCUCAGUCCUCAAGUGUUGGAGAAGCUCUGAGCUCAUAUGGGAUUUGUUGAGUCCGGCGAUGAACUCCUUUCAUUGAAAAGUAUUGAGAGUAAAAACUGUAACUCUCAAAUGGCGCUAGUUCAACUAUUCACCAACGCCACUAGUAGCUGCCUCACCAUUAUUAUGAACAAGGCAUUUCAGAAUUAUUCCACAGCUCAUUUGCAGUGCACAGCGUUUGGAAGUAUAAGGAAAAUGGAGACACUGCAUCGGCAAGCAAGGAUAUGUUUGGAAGUAUCAGGAAAAUUGGUUCUUGCUUUUCAUAUAUUCUCAUUUGCUUAUUAAUGUAUAAAAUGUUAGUACAAGACUUGAAGCCAAAAGACAUAACCCUGGAAAUAGCUUUGAAGCUUUUGUCGAGUAAGGAAACUAAGAAUGCAAGAUCCAGGUAACGCAAGCGCCAAAUAAAGGGUGAAGAACAACAGGAAAAGGUUGUAGCUGUUAGGUAAUUUAGGCUCACGAUAUCAGAUACAAUGCUAUUUCUUGCAAGAUAGAGGACAUUCUUUAGGCCUGCGGCCUGCCUUUCUUUCACAGUAAUAGUUGUAAAGAGGAGAUUAUUUUGGAUCAUGAAGAGGAUGUUUGUAGUGGUAAAAUCCAUUAAAUGUAAGUAGCAGGUUACUCAUUUUUUGUAGAAACCUAUAAUUUUUCCAAGGAAAUCAAUAGAGCAUACAUAUUCUCCAA